UACCCUCCUGUCAAUGGACAAAAAGACAUCUUGCUUGUUUGUGGUGGCGUUCUUAAAUCAGUCGGGGCACAGCAGUCCUUUGUUCAUCCUAGCUUGAUGCCUGACUUGGUGGCCGAAGCUGUUUUCAGCCUAGGACACAGAA